AGAGUUUGAUCCUGGCUCAGGACGAACGCUGGCGGCGUGCUUAACACAUGCAAGUCGAACGGAAUCCAUGGUGUAGCAAUACACCGGAAGAUUUAGUGGCGAACGGGUGAGGAUCACGUGAGAAACGUGCCCCAGACUCUGGGAUAACAAUUGGAAACGAUUGCUAAUACCGGAUGACGUCGGAGAAUCGCAUGAUUCACUGACGAAAGAUAUUUCGGUUUGGGAGCGUCUCGCGGCCUAUCAGCUUGUUGGUGGGGUAAUGGCCUACCAAGGCAACGACGGGUAGCUGGUCUGAGAGGAUGAUCAGCCACACUGGGACUGAGACACGGCCCAGACUCCUACGGGAGGCAGCAGUGGGGAAUCUUGCGCAAUGGGCGAAAGCCUGACGCAGCAACGCCGCGUGCGGGAUGAAGGCCUUCGGGCUGUAAACCGCUUUCAGCAGGAACGAAAAUGACGGUACCUGCAGAAGAAGGAGCGGCCAACUACGUGCCAGCAGCCGCGGUGACACGUAGGCUCCAAGCGUUGUCCGGAUUUAUUGGGCGUAAAGAGCUCGUAGGCGGUUGAGUAAGUCGGGUGUGAAAACUCUGGGCUUAACCCGGAGACGCCAUCCGAUACUGCUCUGACUAGAGUUCAGGAGGGGAGUGGGGAAUUCCUAGUGUAGCGGUGAAAUGCGCAGAUAUUAGGAGGAACACCGGUGGCGAAGGCGCCACUCUGGACUGAAACUGACGCUGAGGAGCGAAAGCAUGGGUAGCAAACAGGAUUAGAUACCCUGGUAGUCCAUGCCGUAAACGGUGGGCACUAGGUGUGGGUUCCAACUAACGGGAUCCGCGCCGUCGCUAACGCAUUAAGUGCCCCGCCUGGGGAGUACGGCCGCAAGGUUAAAACUCAAAGGAAUUGGC
rnacentral:rRNA from 1 species